ensembl:lncRNA
UGAUUUAGAUAUGAUUGAAAUCAGUUUUCCAGAAUCCUCGGUUAUCUAAAGUUUUAGGCUAUCAUGAAACCAAGUUGAAAUUACUUCUUGGCAAAUCUCCAUAUCUUUUUAUCUCUAAUAGGCCACACAUUAUCCUAUUUUGUGUGGUUAUUGGGUUCUUACUAUUGUCUGUUUUUGCCUUCCUGCCAUCCUCUCUACCUUUGGCCUCUUGGUUCUCCUCUUCCUAACAGUUCAUGACCAGCUCCCCUCCUUUCUCUGUUCCCUGCCUCUAAGAGUCCGCAUGCCCAAGGGCUUUGUCCUUGAACUUGUCGCCUGUCCACAUCAACUGCCCGAGUGACCUCAUUUCUCUCAGUAACUUUCUAUAGCUUGCUGAUUCCUGGAUUUGAGCUGUGAAGCCCUGUUUGGGAGACUGAGGCUUCUUUUUAAAGUUGUGUCAAUCUUGACAUUUAACAUAAACCGCAUCGUAUAUCUGACCAGUGACUCGUUGUUCUGUGGUGUUUGAUGUUUUUCAGAAGCCCUUCUGUUGAGGUGGACACCAAGAGUGAGAAUACUUCAUCAUCCGAGGGAGCCAACGGUACCCUGCUGAUCCACAGCCCCGCAGAACUCAAAAGCGGCUGGAGGAAGCAGAAGGGGUACCUCUCCUCAUUUAGUGAUUCGUUGCUUGCGUCUAAUACCACGUAUCAAAAGAACUUUAAGAUAAAAGAUAAAACACCACUGAGAACCAUGUGAACUGCCAACCAUAUACACAAGGCUGGUGAAGCCGGCGUCGUUGCCAGAAAGUCCUUUGUCCUGGGCUGACCCCCGGUGAGCUUUGUGGCCCCCUUCAGGUGAGACCUACAGCUUGGUGUCCUGGAUCUACGUGGGUUCAAAACGAGGACAUUUUCAUCUGCUUGCAUAUUAAGCCAGUGACUCACUUCUUGACUGACCAUAAUGACACACAUGGGCUUCCCUGGUGGCUCAGUGGUCAAGAAUCUGCCUGUAAUGUAGGAGACUUGCGGAAGAUGCCCACUCAACCCCUGGGUCAGGAAGAUCCCCUGGAGGUGGAAAUGGCAACCCACUCCAGUAUUCUGCCUAGGAAAUCCCAUGGACAGAGGAGCCUGGCGGGCUACAGUCCAUGCGGUUACAGAAAGAGUCGGACACGACUGCGUGGCAUAAACAACAGCAAAUGACACACAUGCCUUGUGCUUUUCCCUCCUAAAAAGGUUCUCAUGUGCAAAUGCAUGCAUGUGGAUAGUAACAGUGGAAAUGACCGCAGUGAUUUCCUUUGGUUUUGAUCAGUGGUUUUUCAGAUGGGCUAUGUGAGCUACUUGGGAAGCCAGAUCCUCUUGUGUUCAUGGUAUCCUUGUAUGAGGAAGGAGGAUCAUGAGAGCAAGACUCUAGGACCCCUCACCAAUAUCCUGCCCUCAAUCCCGAUUAUCUUUCUUGAAAAAGUACAAUUAUAUUUGAAAAACUGACUUUAUACUCCCAAAUUAAUUCCCUUUAAAAUGGGAUUUAAUUAUACACAUAACAUUAAUUGUGUCAUCAAAUACUAGGUUGCCUGAAUUGCUGUGUACAAAUAAUCUUAUUUGGUGUGUGUAGAAGGGUGACAGUAAAACACAGCUACGAUUCCAUGGAGCACAGGUCAGUUUUCCAAUUACAUUCUUAGACUGGAGUGAGGACGGGGAAUGUGAAUAUCCCAAGUUGACAGUCCCGGGUUCACCAGCGUCAUGAAACAUUCACCGCUGCCACUUGGAACAACCACACCCCGUAUCUCAGUCUUGUGCACACACCAGGCCCUCAUCACACGCACGUGACACACUUUCUUGUCCUCCUCACCUGACACCAAAAUCUCUUGUCUCAUCACAGAGCUAAGACAACUAAAAUACUGCCGAGUGGUAAAUUGACUAAAUGCUAGAAUUCAGCUGUUGACUUAAUGAAAACUUUGAAAGCUUUUGGGGAAGAAAUAUGUAUUUGUAUCAUUCUCUGUAUGUCUCCUUUCCAUGACUUAUUUCUCUAAAGAUCCAGUUCCUAUUGCUUAAACAUCUUUUCCAUGUUUUAAGUGAAUGGAAGCAGUUUCAUUUGGGAAUGUGCAGUUUCUGAUAAGGGAGUGUCCAAGAAACUUUUUUCCUAGUGAGGCUAGAAAGGAGGAAGCCAGGUUUACACCUGUUAUUUAGGUUUAAAAGCUGUGUGAGAACAUACAUGGCAUUCAUAACAAUGCCUGACACCUAGUGCUUUGGCCAUUUGCUCUUUUACUCUUCUGCAGGUUGCCAUGAGUAAUUAGAAGCUGUGUUCGGGUAUAUAUGCAGGUUGGGAGCUCAGAGGGCACUCUACUUCCUGGUGAAACAGUUCUUGAAAAGGGGAUGAGGGGUAGGAGCAGUGUUUUGGUAGGAAUAUAAAAUGUGGCAGCCAUAGGAGAACAUACAUAUUCUGGGUAUAUAUCCAAGAGAAAUGAAAACUUACAUCCACACAAAAAACGUAUACACAAAUGCUCGUAGCUGCUUUAUCCACCACAGCCAAAAAAAAAAAAAAAAAGGAAAUAGCCUAAGUGUUUAUCAAUUAAUGAAUGUAUAAGCCAAACCUGGUAUGGGGCCUGAGGAUGGAGGAGACUGGGGUGUGACUCCUUAAUGCACACAGGGUUUGCCGUUGGGUAGUGAAAAUAUUCCAGAACUAGAUAAUGGUGAUGGUUGCACAAUAUUGUUAAUCUACAGAUGAUCACUAAUUGUCAGUUGUAUGUUAUGCAUAAUUUACCACAAUAAAUAAAAUUUAAUAAGUGAUAAGUCUGUGUAU